CUACUUUCAAGCGAAUCCUGAACUCGGGGAGGGAAAAACCAUUCCCAACAAUUUGGAGGGGGCACCCGGAUUCGCCCAGACGCCUCGUCGAGUUGGAGGACGAUCUCAAAUCAACCUCUGCGCAGAACUUCUAAUAAGAAAAAUUGGCCAACAGAGAGUGAAGCAUCUAGACCUGCCGAAAACACAACACUGUGGGUGAGAUUGAAACAGCACAAACGAAAAUGGUCUAGCCCAAGGUGGUCUGAACCGUUAAGAGUCACGGCUAGGACAUCCCAUUGUGUGCAAUUAGCAGGUAAAGGCACAACAUGGUAUCAUUUGUCUGCUUGUAUGUUCUGUCCUUCUCCAGACAGGACUUUGGCGGAUGUCAGAGUUGACCUCAGGAGAGGUCAAAGAGAGGGAGAAGGAGAAAGAGAGGGAGAAGAAGGAGAAGGAGACACUGAGGAGCCUGAGGAGCCAGAAAGAGAGGGAGAAGGCGGGGAAAGAAGCGGACAAACAGAAACAGCCCCAGCCCCCAGAACACAGCUAAGCGCAACCCCUAUAUUUAAAAUCUUGCAACGAACUGGAGACUUGCUUCAGACACCAGAACACAUUCCCAUUGCACAUUGUAUAAGUGCUGAUUAUGCACUGGGAGCUGGGGUAGCUAAACAAAUUAGAGACAAAUACGGUGUAGAAGAAUUGAACACUUCAGUCGCCCAACCAGGGGAUUGUAUCAAAACUACACACGGUCCACGACAAAUUUACCAUUUGGUGACCAAAUGGUGGUGUAGGGACCUACCCACCUACGAGCAUCUCGAGACUAGUCUGAUAAAAUUGUGUUACCAGUGUAAGAAAGAUAAAAAUAAAAUAUUAGCUAUACCAAAAUUAGGGUGUGGAUUAGACAAAUUAGACUACACCAAAGUAAAAGAAAUAAUUGAGAAAGUAUUCAAAGAGGGCCACAUUCAGGUAAUUCUCCUAACAAAAUGAAUAAAAUAAACAAAUUGGUGGUGGCAUGGGGAAUAAUGUUGGUGGUAAUCCUAUGGAUAAUCUGCCAUAUGGAAUUCGGAGGGGCAACAAAGGAAAAACGGAGUGUAAAAGAAGGGGGGGGAACAGGGGUGCGUAUUACCUUAGAAAGGGAAGAGGGAAAGGAUGGGAUGUGGCAGUUUGAUCUUUGUCAAGUGAUAGAUUGUGGAAAGGACCAAUUGGCAUGGAGAGGGCAUGAUGUGUAUGGG